AGAGAAUUGGCCGAGCGGUUUAAGGCGAUAAGCUUGAGUCUUAUUUGAUAUAAUAAAAUAUCACAUCCGUUCGAAUCGGAUAUUCUCUG
rnacentral:tRNA from 1 species